UUGGAGGGCAAGUCUGGUGCCAGCAGCCGCGGUAAUUCCAGCUCCAAUAGCGUAUAUUAAAGUUGUUGCAGUUAAAAAGCUCGUAGUUGAAUUUCGGGGUCAGUAGGCUGGUCGUGCCUCAGGUACGUACUGGUCUUACUGAUUCCUCCUUCCUGACGAACCGUAAUGCCAUUAAUUUGGUGUUGCGGGGAAUCUGGACUGUUACUUUGAAAAAAUUAGAGUGUUUAAAGCAGGCUAACGCUUGAAUACAUUAGCAUGGAAUAAUGAAAUAGGACGAUCGAUCCUAUUUUGUUGGUUUCUAGGAUUGACGUAAUGAUUAAUAGGGAUAGUUGGGGGCAUUAGUAUUCAAUUGUCAGAGGUGAAAUUCUUGGAUUUAUUGAAGACUAACUACUGCGAAAGCAUUUGCCAAGGAUGUCUUCAUUAAUCAAGAACGAAAGUUAGGGGAUCGAAGACGAUCAGAUACCGUCGUAGUCUUAACCAUAAACUAUGCCGACUAGGGAUCGGAUGAUGUUAAUUUUUUAAUGACUCAUUCGGCGCCUUACGGGAAA
rnacentral:rRNA from 1 species